rnacentral:tRNA from 1 species
GGAGACAUGGCGUAAAGGUAGCGCAGUACCCUGCUAAGGUAUCCUAGAGCAAUCUAGUUUGGGUUCGAUUCCCAAUGUCUCCG